AGCUCCAAUAGCGUAUAUUAAAGUUGCUGCAGUUAAAAAGCUCGUAGUUGCAUUUCCGAGGCAAGGGAUUAGUCCGACCUUUGGUGGGUAUUUAAUCCUCUUGCCUCGUCCUUGAGUGGUGCUUCUUGGUAUUAAGUUAUCGAGGAGAUAGCCGCUCAUCGUUUACUGUGAGAAAAUUAGAGUGUUCAAAGCAGGCUUAUGCCGUUGAAUAUAUUAGCAUGGAAUAAUAAGAUAGGACCUCGGUACUAUUUUGGGGGUUUGAGAACCAAGGUAAUGAUGAAUAGGGACAGUUGGGGGUAUUCGUAUUCAGUUGUCAGAGGUGAAAUUCUUAGAUUUACGGAAGACGAACUACUGCGAAAGCAUUUACCAAGGAUGUUUUCA
rnacentral:rRNA from 1 species